GGCGCUGUGGUCGGGGCGGAGGCGGGGCCGAGGCCGAGGCCUCCUCUGCGCCGGGCGCCACCUGGGCCUCCCCCGAAAGGCCUCUCCCCCGCGGAAAGAACUUCGUGAAGGAGGAAAAGGAGGAGAGGAGGAGGAGGAGGGACCAUGGCUGACGGCGCCGCCUCGACCCUCGCCGAGUCCGGCUGGUACCUGUCAGAUGAAGGAAUUGAAGCUUGCACAAAUUCAUCUGACAAAGUCAACAUAAAUGACAUUAUCCUGAUUGCACUUAAUACAGACUUAAGAGCCAUUGGAAAGAAGUUCCUCCCUAAUGACAUCAAUGGUGGAAAGGUGGAAAAGCUAGAAGGUCCCUGUGUUCUGCAGAUCCAAAAAGUUCGCAAUAUAGCUGCACCAAAGGACAAUGAGGAAUCUCAGGCUGCUCCCAGAAUGCUGCGCUUGCAGAUGACGGAUGGGCACACAACCUGCACUGCGAUAGAAUAUAAUUACAUGUCAAAAAUAAGCCUGAACACGCCACCUGGAACAAAAAUUAAAUUGCUGGGAAUCGUGGAAGUGAAAAAUGGCUUCCUUCUUCUGGAUGAAAGCAACACGGUGAUUCUUGGAGGUGAAGUGGAACAUCUUAUAGAAAAAUGGGAGUUGCAAAGGAGCUUAUCAAAACACAACAGAAGUAACAUAGGAACAGAAGGUGGACCUCCUCCCUUUGUGCCUUUUGGGCAGAGAUGUGCAUCGCAGCUGCAAGUGGACAGCAGGGAGCUGGAUCGGAGAAAAACUCUGCAAGUGACAAGUGUGGCUAAGCCUGCUGGAGACAAUGAUGAAUUUGAAAAACAACGAACAGCUGCUAUUGCCGAAGUAGCAAAAAGCAAAGAGACCAAGACAUUUGGAGGAGGUGGUAGCAGUACGCGAAGCAAUCUCAGUGCAAAUGCAGGAGGGAAUCGAAGCAGAGAAGUCUUCCAAAGAGAGAAGAUGAAACCUGAGGGGAAAAAUGAAGGUGUCUAUCGAGAACUGGUUGAUGAAAAGGCUCUGAAACACAUCACAGAAAUGGGUUUUAGCAAGGAAGCAGCAAGGCAGGCAUUAAUGGAUAAUAGCAACAACCUUGAAGCUUCAUUAAAUUUUCUUCUGAACAGCAAUAAGCAAAUGACUGUUCAAGGGCCUCCCAUUAGAGGGAAAGGAAAAGGCAGAGGCCGAAUACGAUCUGAAGAUGAAGAAGAACUGGGAAAUGCCAGGCCAUCUGCUCCAAGCACAUUGUUUGAUUUCCUGGAGUCUAAAAUGGGUACUCUUGCAGUAGAAGAACCAAAGCUACAGAUGCCAUUUCAGCAGCAGGGACAACACAGAGUACUAAAUACUGAGCAAAAUGGCAUAAAAAUGUAUAACCAUCAAAGGCAUGUUCCUCGAAACGAAAAUAGACAGCCAAGAAAUGAGAAGCCACCACGUUUUCAGAGAGAUAGUCAAAAUUCAAGGCAUGUCACAGAUGGAAGUGGAUUAUUGAGAGCCAGACCAUCUGAAAGGCAAAACUCUUUGGGCCCAGAUCAGUGGACCGAAGAGAGAAGCAAGUGUGAUAGACUUUACCCACGAAAAGAUCUUGCAUAUCCAACACCUGUUCACCCCGGUGACUUCCAUUUCAAGAGACGGGACAAUCCUGUACAAAACAGGCAAGGAAAAGUGUCGCUUAUGGAGAACUCUUCUAGUCAAGAUCCAGCUGACAACAAUAACCAGAAGCAAACACAUAGGGAAACACAGGUACACCAUCCUGAAAAUAUAUACGACAGGAAAACGCCAGUGCUUGGAAAUGAAACGUUUGCCAGCUUAAAAAAUGAGCAGCACUUUGGUGUGAACAUAGAUUACCAAAACCCUGCUAGAACUGAUCGUUUUAGCUCUGUACCAAAUGGGGAUUUGGAACAUUUUCAGAAAGGAAGAAGAGUUGGACCUAUUAAAAUGCCUGCAGCAAAUGCAGCCACACCUUUUGAUGUUAAAAUGUGCUAUGACAUUGUGCCCAGAAAAAGGUCUGGGCCUAUCAAACCAGAGAAGAUCUUGGAGCCAUCUAAUUCAGGAGAGUAUGGAAAAAGCUGGCAACCUGGAGACGAAUGUUUUGCUCUUUACUGGGAAGACAACAAGUUUUAUCGGGCUGAGAUCGAAGCUCUUCAUUCCUCUGGGACAACUGCAGUUGUGAAGUUCUGUGAUUAUGGAAACUAUGAAGAGGUGUUACUAAGCAACAUCAGGCCCAUUCAAGCUGACACCUGGGAUGAGGAAGAAAUGGGUUAUGAACAAACUUUAGAAUUCCGCAGAGGUGGAGAUGGACAACCUCGGCGAUCAACACGGCCGACUCAACAAUUUUAUCAACCUCCAAGAGCAAGGAACUGAUAAAAGUCUCAUAGUAAGACUUCGGGAUUUCAACAGAUGGCUGGCAAGAUGCCUUAUGUGUUUGUUGUGGCAAAGCCUCUUGAUGCUCUCUUCAGUGCUCAAGAUGUCUCACUUCGCCUGAAGGAUGGCACUUGACAACAAAGGCUGAUAAAAGCAGGAAGGACAAAAUAUAUUCCACCAGAGACAUUUUUUUUAGUUUCAUGAUGCUAAACUUUUUACAUACAAAAACCCCACUGUUAAUAUUACCAUCAAUAAAAGCCACCAUGCUCUACUGUG